GGAAGAGCCCGCCGCCAAGCCGCCAGGCGUCCCUGUGAGCGGGGCGAUCACGCGCGCGCGCGCGCGCCCCUGCGCCCGCUAACCCUUUCUGCCCUGGCCUGGGCGCUAAUGCCUCUAGACUCCAGUCCUCUGGUCUCUCUAAGGGUUUGCCCACAGGGAGCUUGAAAGGAACCGUGGUCUCAAACUCACUGUGCAGCCAAGGAUGACCCUGAACUUCUCAUCUUCCUACCUCCACCUCCUAAAUGCUGAGAUUACAGUUCCCUACAGGAUAGCAGAAAGGGCAACAGGGAGGAGAGUUUGUGCAGGUUCAAUGAGCCAGCAAAAGCUAGUCUGGAACUUGCUUCUUCCACGACCAGCUUCCCACAUCCCAAGGACAUCCCUCAAGACUCCUAGCUGUCUGGGAGUUCACUCCAUAACCAAAGAAGCAAGAAGUCACCAGAGAACCCAGACCUCACCCAGACCUUUGGAAAACACUUCCCAGGCUCUACUGAUAACUUAUACCACUGUCUGGACAAACAGCUCUCUGGUCUGUAAAGCAAUAAAACAG
rnacentral:lncRNA from 1 species